rnacentral:lncRNA from 1 species
CAAGAUUCCAAAACCACAGCCAUAAACUAAAAAUAAAGUACAGAAAAUAAAAAUGAACACGGAGAAUUUUUCGACUAAAGCCCUGAGGUUUGGUGACCACUUCUAACGUCUAAUCCCCUGUUGAUCAUCCUUUAAAAUGGAUAAAGCUCGAUUGCACUAUAAAGCCCCAAAAUAGGCAGCAAAUAUACAAUAAUGUUCCAGAAAAUACAACAAAUAGUCACCAAGACUUAUCUUUAAAAUAAGGCACAAAUCAAGCCUUACUCUACUAAGGAUUCAAAACCCGAAUCACACAGAUAACCAAAAGUGAACGGCCCUCUUCGAACCACCGAAAAUGGGUGCUCUUUCACAGAAUAUUACUUUCCACCAAGGGAACUAUACAAAUCAGCCUCUAUAUUAUACAAUACUAAGCUGAAAAACACUAAGUUUUCGCAAUAAAAAUCGGCCAACAAAGAGUCACACGGAUUCAACUCAACCAAGACUAAAUUAGCAGAAUACCCAUAUAGAUCUUGAAUAUUUCAUGCUGUUUUUUGAGAUUAUUUUCAAAAAAAAAAAAACCACCAGAAAAUUAACCCCUAAAAUCACAAAGAAGGAAGAUGUAGUCUUGCACAAGAAGAGAGAGAAAUGAAGAGCUCUUUUAUUGAGAGUGAGACGUUUGAGGGAGAAAGAGUGAGUGUGAC